rnacentral:rRNA from 1 species
GAUGAACGCUAGCUACAGGCUUAACACAUGCAAGUCGAGGGGAAACGACAUCGAAAGCUUGCUUUUGAUGGGUGUCGACCGGCGCACGGGUGAGUAACGCGUAUCCAACCUGCCCACCACUUGGGGAUAACCUUGCGAAAGUAAGACUAAUACCCAAUGAUAUCCCACGAAGGCAUCCGAAUGGGAUUAAAGAUUUAUCGGUGAUGGAUGGGGAUGCGUCUGAUUAGCUUGUUGGCGGGGUAACGGCCCACCAAGGCUACGAUCAGUAGGGGUUCUGAGAGGAAGGUCCCCCCACAUUGGAACUGAGACACGGUCCAAACUCCUACGGGAGGCAGCAGUGAGGAAUAUUGGUCAAUGGGCGAGAGCCUGAACCAGCCAAGUAGCGUGCAGGAUGACGGCCCUAUGGGUUGUAAACUGCUUUUAUAAGGGAAUAAAGUGGGUCUCGUGAGACUUUUUGCAUGUACCUUAUGAAUAAGGACCGGCUAAUUCCGUG